rnacentral:rRNA from 1 species
AUACGUAGGGAGCGAGCGUUGUCCGGAAUUACUGGGCGUAAAGGGCGCGUAGGCGGCGCUUCAAGUCGUCUGUCAAAUGGAAGGGCUUAACCCUUUUUCGCAGACGAAACUGGAGAGCUUGAGAAGCAGAGAGGCAAACAGAAUUCCUGGUGUAGCGGUGAAAUGCGUAGAUAUCAGGAAGAAUACCAGUGGCGAAGGCGGUUUGCGGGCUGCAUACUGACGCUGAAGCGCGAAAGCCAGGGGAGCGAACGGGAUUAGAUACCCCGGUAGUCCUGGCAGUAAACGAUGUAUGCUGGGUGUGAGACUAGCGAUAGUUUCGUGCCGAAGUUAACGCGAUAAGCAUACCGCCUGGGGAGUACGGUCGCAAGAUUGAAACUCAAAGGAAUUGACGGGG